rnacentral:rRNA from 1 species
AUUGAACGCUGGCGGCAUGCUUUACACAUGCAAGUCGAACGGCAGCGCGGGCUUCGGCCUGGCUGCGAGUGGCGCACGGGUGAGUAAUGCAUCGGAACGUGCCCAGUAGUGGGGGGUAGCCCGGCGAAAGCCGGAUGAAUACCGCAUACGACCUGAGGGUGAAAGCGGGGGACCGAAAGGCCUCGCGCUCUUGGAGCGGCCGAUGUCGGAUUAGCUAGUUGGUGGGGUAAAGGCUUACCAAGGCGACGAUCCGUAGCUGGUCUGAGAGGACGACCAGCCACACUGGGACUGAGACACGGCCCAGACUCCUACGGGAGGCAGCAGUGGGGAAUUUUGGACAAUGGGGGCAACCCUGAUCCAGCCAUGCCGCGUGCGGGAAGAAGGCCUUCGGGUUGUAAACCGCUUUUGUUCGGGAAGAAAUCCUCUGGGCUAAUACCCCGGGGGGAUGACGGUACCGGAAGAAUAAGCACCGGCUAACUACGUG